rnacentral:tRNA from 1 species
GGCACGGUAGCCAAGUGGUAAGGCAGGAGUCUGCAAAACUCUUAUGCGUCGGUUCAAUUCCGACCCGUGCCUCCA